AUGAGUAGACCUGAUGGGAUCAAGAUCCCCGACGGCAAGUUCUACCUUGGAGAUGCUGGCUAUGCAUGUCGGCCAGGUAUUCUUCCACCCUUCAGGAAAACAAGGUACCAUCUCAACUAGUUCUCUGGUAGGAACUAUCAUAGGACUGCACAGGAGCUGUUUAAUCUCAAACACUCCAGCCUUAGAGUAACUGUUGAGAGGGCAUUUGGAGCUCUGAAGAAUAGGUUUAAGAUCCUGGAUAAGAAGCCAUUCCACCCAUACUCCACUCAGGUUAAGCUAGUUCUUGCUUGUUGCAUUCUGCAUAACUGGAUCCUCCAGUGGGGCUUUAAUGAACACGUGCCUGAGGAGGAAGAUGUCGAGCCUGACGAUGUUGUUAGCUCUGGGCAUGGUUUGGAGGCAUUUGACAAUGACGCUUGGAAGAACAAAAGGUUGGAGUGGGCAGAGGCGAUGUGGCUUAAUAGAGGUUAG
rnacentral:rRNA from 1 species